rnacentral:rRNA from 1 species
CAGGCCUAACACAUGCAAGUCGAACGCUAUUUUAUAGAGUGGCGCACGGGUGAGUAACGCGUGGGAAUCUGCCCUUCUGCCUGGGAUAACAGCUGGAAACGGCUGCUAAUACCGGAUACGCCCUUCGGGGGAAAGGUCCGCCGCAGAAGGAGGAGCCCGCGUCUGAUUAGCUUGUUGGUAGGGUAAUGGCCUACCAAGGCGACGAUCAGUAGCUGGUCUGAGAGGAUGAUCAGCCACACUGGGACUGAGACACGGCCCAGACUCCUACGGGAGGCAGCAGUGGGGAAUAUUGGACAAUGGGGGAAACCCUGAUCCAGCAAUGCCGCGUGUGUGAUGAAGGCCUUAGGGUUGUAAAGCACUUUCACUGGUGAAGAUGAUGACGGUAACCAGAGAAGAAGCCCCGGCUAACUUCGUGCCAGCAGCCGCGGUAAUACGAAGGGGGCGAGCGUUGUUCGGAAUUACUGGGCGUAAAGGGAGCGCAGGCGGUUCAUUAAGUUAGGCGUGAAAGCCCCGGGCUCAACCUGGGAACUGCGCUUAAUACUGAUGAACUAGAAAACAGGAGAGGGUAGUGGAAUUUCCAGUGUAGAGGUGAAAUUCGUAGAUAUUGGAAAGAACACCGGUGGCGAAAGCGGCUACCUGGCCUGAUUUU